GAUGAACGCUGGCGGCGUGCCUAAUACAUGCAAGUCGAGCGAACAGAUGAGGAUCUUGCUCCUCUGACGUUAGCGGCGGACGUGUGAGUAACACGUGGAUAACCUACCUAUAAGACUGGUAUAACUUCGGGAAACCGGAGCUAAUACCGGAUAAUAUAUUGAACCGCAUGGUUCAAUAGUGAAAGACGGUUUUGCUGUCACUUAUAGAUGGAUCCGCGCCGCAUUAGCUAGUUGGUAAGGUAACGGCUUACCAAGGCAACGAUGCGUAGCCGACCUGAGAGGGGGAUCGGCCAAACUGGAAGAGAGACACGGACCAGACUCCUACGGGAGGAAGCAGUAGGGAAUCUGCCGCAAUGGGCGAAAGCCUGACGGAGCAACGCCGCGUGAGUGAUGAAGGUCUUCGGAUCGUAAAACUCUGUUAUUAGGGAAGAACAAAUGUGUAAGUAACUAUGCACGUCUUGACGGUACCUAAUCAGAAAGCCACGGCUAACUACGUG
rnacentral:rRNA from 1 species